UGUCACAUGAUCCGCGUAACUCCCAUGGAGCUCUCAGAUGAGAGGCUUCCCAAAACCCGAAGGAAGGUGAUGGUGGUUUCCUCACAUCCUCUGCUGCCCCCCCACCCCCCGCCCACGCUCUCUUAUGUUUCUUGUACUUUGUCAGGUCUGCUUCCUUUUCAGACCCUACUUAGGUUGCAGCUUUUACCUGGAGAAAACAGAUGGCUGAUGCAAAGUCUCCCGAGAGAUCUGUGGAAUUAAUCUCUUGUCAUUGACUUCACAUUGAGCCUUCAUCCAACAGCUGAUGGAAGUAGAAGCAGACACCCACAGCUAAACACUGAACUGAACUGGAAACCAGUUGCAGAGAAGGAGUAAGGAGCAAAGGGGUCCAGACCAGGCUGGUGAAACCCACAGAAACAGCUGACCUGAAAAAGGGGGAGCUCUUGGCCCCCAGACUGAUCACUGGGAAACCAUCGUGGAACUGAUCCAGACCCCAUGAAUUCAUGGAUUCCUCACCUAUAGCAAGAGUGAUGAUGAAUCUUCCUCAAGAGAUCUCCAAAGUGUAAAGUGAAACAGUGC
rnacentral:lncRNA from 1 species